GUAGUAGGUUAAGAACGAGAUGUUUUCUUUUUUUAUGUCAUCUGUUCCGUUCACAUACAGUAGAUCAAAAUUGGUACCAUAUUUUCAAAUUUACCAUUUCAGAUUUUUUUCAUCUAAGUUAAUUUAAAGCAAAGGUAUCUUGCAUCAUCUUUAAAAUCUUAGCUGCAUAUUUAUGUCAUAGAAGGAGAUGAUAGCAAGGGCUGUAGAGGAACUACCAGCAUGAUAAACACAUAGAGAUACCUCUCAAAAUACUGGGAAAAAACCUAUCUAAUACUUUUUGAAUUUUUUUCCCCUUUUAUGUUUGUCUCAUGGACUGGCUCUGAUUACAUUAAUGAGUAAUUCAUCAUAACAGAAACAGAUCACCAUAUUGGAGUAGUUAGUGCUGAGAAUCAGUGUGUUUGUUAUAAAUAUUAAAAGGAUUUGAACUUCAGGCUGCCUUUAACUUGAUCUCUUGGACUGGCUCGUCUCACCAUGCAAGCUGCCCAAAAGCUGCCCAAAGGCCCACUGGUUAGUUUGGACUUGAAACACCCUCACUGGAGUGCAUUCCAUGUGCACUGAGCACAGCUUCUGGGUUAGUUCCCUGCAAAGGGAAUUCAGUGCUUCUGUGCACCAAAACUGCUCUGGGAGCUGAGCCAGUGUGCAGUAAAUGGGAACAGUUGGGGGUAGGAUUUGUUGCAAAACUGCAUUGCUGCUCUGAACCAAAGUGGUAAAUAUAUAGGCAAUAAUUUGUAUUUUUGUGGCUUUGGGAAAGCACUGCAUAUUUUUCUCUAGUGUGCAAACCAAGCAAUUUUGACUGCUAAAACUGAAAUGUGUAUUUGUAUACUUUUCUGAUCAGCAUUCUCUGGUAAGUGCUGUAUGUUUGAUGAUGCAAAGAGAGAGCAAGCUGCACUGAAUCAUUAUGUAAGCAGAGAAAUCCUUACAUAUCUGCUUUACAUGCAACUCAGAAUAUUAGAUUUUAUCAGUAAUAAAAACUGUGGCUUUCACAUAAAAAUGAUGAAAAACUCUUUUCCUAGCUUCAAUUCUCGAAAAAGAGAAAGUGAUGGGCAGACUAAUUUUCUAUGAUCAAAGAAGACCCUGCACUACAUAGGGUUUCAUGAGAAUGCAUAAAGAGUGAAGAAACAGAAGUCCAAAAUCAUGUGAUCUUCAUUUAAAGCAAUGUGCAUGAUAUCAUAUAGUACAUUGAGGUACUGAUCAUGAGAUCAGAAGUCAGAACUUCUGCAUGUUAAUUUUGACUUUGUCAGUGAAUUCAGCUUUUGUCAAGUCAUUACUAUGCAGUUUCCCACCAGAGCAAAGGAAUGUUAAUGUUUUGAAGAGCAGAAGGAAGAGUUCAAUACUUAACAGUUUACCUUUCUAAUUUCCAGUUUAUUUAUUUGAUUGAAUCAUUAUUUUACUCUUAAAAGGCUGCUGAAUUUCAUUUGCUAUUGCUGGCUAACUUUUUGCACUAAAUGUUUUAAUUUUGAUUACUCACAGUCAUUUGUGUAAUUUCAGUUCCUUGGCUGGAUUGCUAGAGCUCAGACAAGGUUCUUCUGCAGCUGCUGGUAUAAGUACAAAAUCUAAUUUCAGUUAAUUCUUGCAUAUAUGGUUUUGCAUUUGUUCUUAGCAAGUGAUCAGGCACAUUUUGAAUGAAUGCAUAUUUCCAGAAUCCAAUAGAAAGGAAUGUAAAGUGAGUGGUAAAAAGCAUUUGAUUGCAAAAAAAGGAAAAUUCCUAUGGUAGUGUACUCCAGUGGCUUUGUGCUAAUGCUCUUGAAUUUCUUCCACUGGGAUCUGAUCCAUAAAGGGAUUUGGUUACUUAAAAUAGUAGUUAUGUCUUAAAGUUCUUAAUAUGUGCUAUUAGAACUACAUCUCAGCUUCUGUUUAAGCUUAAUAGAGUACUCUCAUGUUCACACCACAGAUUAUACCACAAUCCACCUUUGAGACUGCUCUGCUACCUGCCCAAGGGAAUGGUGGCACCCGAAAUGAUAGACACUGCUGGAAAUUCAAGCAAAUGUGUUGUACUGCCACCAGUAUGCCUGAACUCGCUGAGAGCCUCCUUAUUCUGACCUGGGGACUCUUUUGCCGCCUGUGAUUGUGCAUUUGCACAUUUGCAGAGGUAUGUCUGUCAGUUUGUAGGUUACUGCUGUAAAGACCUGACAGACAGAGCAGCUCUCAUGCAACAAUGCUGAGGCUUUCCAAAGGACUUUGGUGUGAGCUCACGAGCAGGAAAGACUUCUUGUAAAAGGCUGCCAUCCACUUUUGUGCAGUAUGCAGUUUGAUCCAUAUUCUUACCAAUUAUAUUUUGAGGAUAGUGUCCCAAACUGUACUUUCCCUAUCCCCAGAUGAGAAGCUAAGUUUGCCCAGGGAAUUGGAAGAUGCUGCUUCCCGGGGAGCUGUCAGUCAGCUGUGACUCCAAGCUCCUGGUAUGUCACUCCCUAAUUAAAACCAGCUUCUAGAAUGUGUUUUUCACUCAUGCCUCGAAAUAUUAUUCUAGUUUAGGAAACUAGAAAAAAACCACAGCCAUGCUCAGCUCCUUUCUGAGUCUGGGAGAAUGCAAACCUAUAUUCGCCUUCUGGACAUUCUCUGUCUCUGGGCAUGUUGUCUCCCUUUGUAGUCCUGGUUCUAGAACAACACAAGUGUAUUUGUCUUCUCAUAAGGAGAUACUUUUGUAAAGUUUUCCACUUCAGUUUUGCAAAACCAAAAGUUUCCUGAUGGUCUACAGAUAACUUCAGAUCUAGUUUUUAAUCUGAACUGGAGGCUCUCCACAAGAAUGUUUAGAGAUAGCAUCUCAGUUCAGUUUGGUGAUGAAACACCAGGGGUUUAAUCUGAAAGGUGUUUCUGAUUUUCUUCUUUUAAUGAAACACAAAAAAGGAAAGUAUCUCCCCUUCCACCCCAGGUUUACAGCAAGAGCUGUAGGAAUUAUCACAACUGCAUCUCUCAAACAGAGGGUUUUUUUAAAAGUUUAGGAGACUUAAAAUUUCAGUUUGGUUAUCCUUUUAAAAUUUGAUCCCCAAAAGAAAGUUUGCAGAAAUCCCUAGUAAUUAUGAAUGGGUCACCUGGUAUAUUAUGUCGCUCAAUACUUCUUACCCUCGACCAUUAACCAUUACAUCCCUAUUACAAGUGAGAAUACAGAGACAAACAGCUCAGGCUUUUACUUUGGCACAAUCCAUACAGGUUAAUUAAAAAACAGGCCCAGUACAAAUUAUACCAAAAGAAAAAAGUCCAAAGCAUGAAAAUAAGCCAGAAAAAGAAUUGCAUCAUUUAUUUGUAGCUUCCCUAAGGAUAAGGAAUUGGAGAGUAUGAGUAAGUCUCAAGAAAUGAAAUAAAAACAGCCCAGCUUUUAGUGGCUUUUUCUUAUUCUUACCUUCUGGAGCAGAGCAGGCUACCAAGUACAAGCAACAGAAAUCUGACUGCCUGACAGGUUUUAAAAUAAGAGUGAAGGUGCAGUAAGUAGCUUGGCUUUCUGGUUUGUGACAAGAUACAGUGACCAAGAAAAGUGGAUUUGAAUAUGGGGCAGCACAGCAUUGUGGAUAUCCUAUCUCCUGCUGCUUACAGCCAACCACUGCUUACAGCUGCAGUUGGUGUGCUCUGCAGCUAUUAUGCGUGAAGUAUUUUCAAAGCUCUCUGUAGUAAGGAGAACACACGUUACAUGUCCUUUUGGAUGUUCAAGCCUCUUUUUAUACCUCUCCUUUCCACUCUGCCAUACAGAGGUGCUAUGGGGAGGAAGCAAUGGAUGACUUAUAACUACUGUCUUGGUACAGGGACAGCACAUUUUGUCUGUGAAUUAUCACUUUGGCAUAUCAUUUUGCCACAUACUUGCCUUGCUCUCUGUCCAACACCACAGUUUCAAAUAUUCUGGCAAACUACAUUUAAUAAUGAAAUAUAUUUUCCUGCUUAAUGGUUCAGUGAGAAUUAUCUGGAAUAUUAAUAAGCUUUCUGCUGUGCCUAAAUGGUGUUGUUCAUUUCUGCUUAAAUAAAGCUUAGGAUAACAAAGGAUCAACUGUUUGAGCCAGGGAUUCAUUUAACAUCAUCAUUCACAUUUCCUUAAAAAUCAAGGGUAUUCACAAGGUCAGUGUCUCUAAGGCUACUUUGAGGGACAUAAUUCUGUGCUGUUUACAUUGGUGAAGAAAACAAAAAAGGGCAACACAAUAUUUUUUGGUCACACUCUCCAGUGCCUGUGAAAUAUUUCAGUGAUCAAACCUGGUUGGUUUCAGAGCUACCCUGGAGCGUCCCUGGUCUGAGUUUACAAGGCAGAAAGUUUAGUUACCCAGCACAAGUUUCAUUGUCCUCCUGUUACUGAAAUUUCAUUUCAGAAGGAGAAGAUUUGGGGUGCACUUUUGCCCGUAUUUUUAACAAUUUUUUGUUUAUUUUGGUUUUCACCAGUAAUUUCUGAUCUCUUCUCUCUUUUUAUGCCACAUUCUGUCCCUACUCAAAAUAGGUUGUUUGGUGAGCACAAAGACAUUUAAAGGGCUUCAACCAAGUUAAAAAUAUGUGUAGAACUGAUGGAAGACUUAAUAUGAGAAAGUGGGAAAGGCUUACCUGGUAAAAUAUUUUGGCACCCCCCCCCCCCCCCCCCCGCCACUGCUCCCCGCUCUGAGAUUCAUUUGACUGUAUCACAAUCCCAGUUUUCAUGUAAAAAUAACUGAUGCCCCUACUGGUGCCUGCAGGUAUAAUGUGAAAAAAUACCUGUGAGCAAUGCUGAUGUGCAUCAGGAAGUUCAACAGUGUUCAGUAGCUUCAGGGCCCCCAUACAAUUUAUCAAAUGACCCCAUGUCCUAGCAUGAGAAAAAGAUGAAGACCUUAUUAAACCCUCCAAAACCUUGGCUUUUGCAGUAAUAAUCUCUUUGCCUCUGUCAGCCUGUGAGGGGCAAAUGGGAACGAACCAUGGGAUGUGUGUGAGAAGCCAGGACCACGCAAUUUUCAUGUCACGCUGUGCCUUGGGCAGAAGCUUCCAGUCAUCUGACCCUGUCCUCAGCAUCUGUUUCCCCGAAUUGCAAAUAGUUCCAUUACCAUCAUGCUGUUUUAUGUCCUGCAAAUGCAAAUUUGCCCUGUGACAGAAUGAGUCCUAUGCCUGAUGGAGAUUUCGCCAUCCCGUAUUGUGUGUGCAGGUCCUACGUAAGCCUAAGAGAAACCUUCUGACGUGUACUACUGAUUGUUUACAUAUGUUAUCAGAGGGAAAAAAAACAGGAAAGGAAAGCUGUCAGCUUACACUGCCAAGAGACCUGGCAGUGGUAUAAUCACAUUUAGAUCAUUUCCAGUCAAUAGAUUUUGUUCUCGUUUUUAAAAAAAAACCUUCCUAGAAAGUUGCUGCACUGUUCUUUUUACUCUGCUACAGUCAGUCCAGAAAAUACCUGCAAUGGCUCCUAUCCUUACAACCAAAGCAGGCAACAUCAGGAGAUGCUUCCAGAGAGAAGGUGGAAGAUGUGGCAAGAGAAUGUGCUUUAUACCAGUUCAAAAUAUGUAACACUGCUUGCAGCUGUGAUUACGGUUCAGUAUGAUAAAGGUCUUUAAAUGAUAGUGAAGUCACAGACUUGUAAUGUAAGUAGAAAUUGAUGCCAAAAAGAAGAUAAAGUUUGGAACCUGGGUGUAUUUCUCAUCUUCAGGUCAAGCUCCAUAAUGGGACUAAAAAAGACUGGAGCACUGGAAGACUGGGACUCCAGCUGCCUGCGUCUAGGAAUUGCUGGUAGCAGAGAGAAUGGUUCCUUUGUCCCACUAAGCCAGAAGAGCUCAUUGCUUCUCUGAAACAAAAUACUAGAGGGAAUAGACACCAAAGCAAGUUUAAUUAAUGUCUGACUAAGUUAAUGUGUUUAAAUCUGGCUUCUUUAAACUAUUCUGCAUCCAUUCACACGUACAUAUGAUACUAGAAAUGUUUUUAGGGUGAAAUAGAAGUCACAAACUUACAUCAGCAUCUCAAGUACUACAAUUCCAGCUAGUCCAGGCCCAAGCCUUGGGAGUCCUAUACUAUUAAUACAAAACUGUUCUCAUAAUUAGCAUUUGGGGACUGAAGACUGCCGUUUUUGAAGAUGUCAAUUCAUUUUACAAUCACAGUCUUAAUAUUUUCUCUGCCUGAAGACAUACAACAUGAGCAAAAAUAAAAUUUUUGCAUAUUAGCAUAAAUAUUAGUCAUUCAUAUUAGCGUUAUGCAGAGACAAAAAAAAAA
rnacentral:lncRNA from 1 species